CCCGGCCCAAGAUAAUGUUACCAUUUUACAGGUAUAAAUUGGAGCUUGCAUCUCAGUUUGAUUAAUUCAGAAGUCGUUGGCUUUGACUGUCUUUUYAGAACCGUGGAAUAUAAACUUGUUCAGACCUAAGAGAUUCAGUUCAGUGAUCAUUAACCAUGAGGACYUUUCAAACUUUCUUGGUGUUAAUGUUGCUGGUUGUGUACUCGUCAGCGUGGCUUUUUAGCAGCUCUCGAGAAAAUGCAGAGAAAGCAGACAAGAACUACGAAAACAGCCCAGCUGAACGCUUCGUUGCUAAAUCAUUUGGUGACGAGCUUCCCAAGAUGAGAGAUGAUCUGAUCAGGCGCAAGAAUAACGGGGAGGGCUUUAUUGAGCGUCAUUAUAAUGCAUGGAAAAAUGGAAACAACUGGGAUGUGGAUGAGAACAAUGACGCMAAGGAAGAUGGUGACCCAGAACCGAGAACCUGAUAGAAUUUGAACGUCAAGGCGAGAAAACACGUUGAAGACUUGCAAACAUUAAUGACAAACUUUAAAAGGACUGAACAAUGGAAUUAACUAGUAGUGACUGAAAUAAAACAAGUAGAAUGUAUUGUUAUUGUGAUUAAAAAGCCUAAACUAAAGAAUGAA